AUUUAAUGUCCAUACAAUUAAGGCACGCGGUGAAUGCCAAGAGAGGAGCCUCACAGCUUCAUU
rnacentral:miRNA from 1 species